UGGAAAGGGAGGCUUCCUGUUGACAUAUGU
rnacentral:piRNA from 1 species